GCCAGUUUGGCAAGAGAUUGUUUCGGUAAUUCCUCUCAUGUUCAAUCUCAUUAGGCUCUAUAACCAGAAGUCGCCUUUGACCCCUCUAUGAAAAUGUUUACUUUUCAGCCUCUGGAAUCUGCUCUCACAAGCAAACCCUUCAUGCUCUGUGCAUAGAGGCAACGCGGUUCAUUUGUGUAAUGAACUCGGGUGGGCCCGUCACUUUGAUGUGAACCCGUAGCUGUGAGNACAAAUCAGUGAAAGGAGAGGGAGAAGCAAUGUUGUUGCUGUGUGCCAAAUCUUGUGAUCUCACCCCCACCUCAUCCACACACACAGAGAUUUAUACACACAGACACACACCAGCGUGCCUAACAUGGCAUUCUCUACUUCCUUAACUGGCUUCCUGUUGUCUGGGGUUGAAGGGGGAGCUUAAAGUCGGGAUAGCCAUAAGCAAUGGUCAGAGGGAAAUUGGUCCGUUUCCGAUGGAGAGCAACAAUUCCUGGGCCGAAGGCAGGAGUAGUGAGUCAGUCAGACGGGAAAAUGUUUGGCUUAUGGCCUCUUUGGACACCAGUAGCUUAUGUCCGUCUGAAUCAGCUGUAUCUGGUCGUAUAACUGAGGAGUGAAGGGAUCCACAGACAAGACAUUCUUCAUGCGUAGUAACCAGGUGAGUCAAGCUGGACUUUACUGCUGAGCUUAUUCUGCUAUUUUAUUUAGCAAAUGUUAAUGGUUUUUUGAAGGUUGUUUGACUGAAAGUGGCGCUUCAAUCUUUCCGAAACUGACCUGAUCGUAAUAGCUUAACUGAAUUAGGAGCAUUGUUUUUGCUUUCAGUUAGUAUCAUCUUUUGGUUGCUACACCAGUGUCGAAUCGCAGAGAGAGAAAUGGGAUGCCAUACAUAACAGUCAGACCUCUUACAGAGAGAGUCAGCUAGAUAGAAACAUGCUCUAUGUUAUGAAACCAGCCACAAAGCGAGUACGCUAGAUAGGGCAUGUUUCUAUGUUAUGAAACCAGCCACAGAGCGAGUACGCUAGAUAUAAAUAUGCCCUAUGAUAUGAAACCAGCCACAGAGCGAGUACGCUAGAUAGAAACAUGCUCUGUUAUGAAACCAGCCACAGAGCGAGUACGCUAGAUAGGGCAUGUUUCUAUGUUAUGAAACCAGCCACAGAGCGAGGGCGCUAGAUAGGGUAUGUUUCUAUGUUAUGAAACCAGCCACAGAGCGAGUAUGCUAGAUAGGGCAUGUUUCUAUGUCAUGAAACCAGCCACAGAGCGAGUACGCUAGAUAGAAAUAUGCCCUAUGUUAUGAAACCAGCCACUGAGUGAGUAUGCUAGAUAGGGCAUGUUUCUAUGUUAUGAAACCAGCCACAGAGUGAGUACGCUAGAUAGGGCAUGUUUCUAUGUUAUGAAACCAGUCAAAAGCCUUCUGUAAAUAUCAGGCAAAAAUCACUCUCCAGCAGUGGAUAGAGAUUCAGGGGCCCCCAAACAAUAAAGAUAGCAAAAUGUGUAGAAUAACAGGAAAUUUGCUUUAAACCUGAAUAUUUGGUAAAAUGUGUAGAAUAGCAUUAUAAAACCUACUCUAAUUGUGUUGAAAUGCAGGACGUUAAUAAUAAUUUUAUGGGCCCCCCAGAUAAUACAUGAUAGCAAAAGGAGUAGAACUGUAGGAAACUGCAACAUUUUCUCUUGCCUCAUAACAAAAUGUGCAUAAUAGCAUUAUAAAACGGCAACUUUUUCAAUGUGUUGAAAUGCAGAAUAUUAGCUGCCCCCCCCCCCAAAGUAUGUUUUCCAAACAAUAAAAUUAUAAUUGGUGCUCCGGGUAGUCCGGCCUGCAUUGAACUCACCCAGUUGUCAUGGAUCAAUGUAAUGUGUGUGCGUGUGUGUGUAUGUGUGUGUGUGACCCCCUUGCUGAGAGUCUGGGACAGGUUUUCCAUCUCUGCUGAAGCGCUGGGAGGCAAGAAAGAGGAGGAGGGAGAUUGGAGAAGGGGCAGAGAAUAAGAUGUGGGAACUUAUUCCCUCCCUGUAAACCCCAUGGAAAACAAACAAACUAGCGUUAUUACUAACAAACCGGAGAACUAACCAAUGGCUGCGACUAUGGAGGAAAUGAGCCCUGCUUAACCAAAGCCUCCCACGGUAGGAAGGGACAGGUCACCAUCAAGAACAUGCCAUGUACAGUUCAUCUCUGAAUCUGGAGAGCUGAUUUUCCUGUCCCCAGACAUCACCUCCAAGAGCCUCUGUACGGUUGAUUCUUUCAACCAUAUUUUAUUGUCAAGCUCUCAUUCCCUCAUUAAAUGGUCAAUAUUUCAUAUUUUCAGUAGAUAGUAUUACUUCUACCGCCCCUCCUAUAGUGAGGAUAUGGCUUCAUUUUUACAGACACUGCUCUCCUGAAUUAGGAGGGCUGUGAUUGGUUGCAUUGCCUACUAUGCCAAUUUCUCUGUAUAACUUGGGCAACUUUAAAACUAGCGGAGACCCCACUCGUGUGGAUGGACAAAAUCAACAUGUGCGCGAUGGGGCACGCGGAUGAGAAAAUAGCAAACUUGCAGGAACUUGCGCAAGUUUUCACAAGUCUGAAACGAUCAAAUGGGACAGGAUAAGCAGGGAAGGGAAAGGGAGGGGAGAGUAAUAUACCAAAUAUGAAGUUGUUUCAAAACGAGGAAACCAAGGAGUGACAGCUUCGUUGACAGAGAAUUCAGGCAGAUAGGAGAGUGACAUCCAGCGCAAAUGAAAAGGUCAGAGCCGAGGUAAUAACCUGUGAUAAGCAUGUGUUAUUGAGUGAUUCCUCACAAAACCCAAACAAAAAAGGCCAUGAUUUUAUGCAUUUUCACAAAAUGUAGUCCAUAGAAUAGUCCUUUGGAGGAAAGAUUGUUGACAUAUAUUUGCUGUGUGUACGUAAAAGCAUAAUUGAGAAAUAAUUAAUCAAAGUUGGCAUAUUUCUGACAUUUUGGCCUUACACGGGCCUCCUUUAAGACUCCAUAGUGUUUAAUCUGUAAAUGCUACAAAGCAAAAAGUGGUGUCGUAUGAAGAAGCUUUACCGCCUGCUCUGUGAUCCUUUUAUUUCAAUAAAACAUGAAUAUUGAAAAUAUAUUUUAAAAAUAUUAUAUUAUGGCUAAUUGUUCAAAAUAGUGUUGAAAAAUACAGUGAGCUCCAAAAGAAUUGGAACAGUGACACAUUUGUUGUCGUUUUGUCUCUGUACUCCAGAACUUUGGAUUUGAUACAGUAAUGAUGAGGUUAAAGUGCAUACUGUCAGCUUUAAUUUGAGGGUAUUUUCAUCCAUAUCGGGUGAACCGUUUAGUAA
rnacentral:lncRNA from 1 species